UACGAGUGCCCCAAGCGUUAUCCGGAAUCAUUGGGCGUAAAGGGUGUGUAGGCGGCUGAAUAAGUGGGGUGUUAAAUCUCCCGGCUCAACCGGGAAACUGCACUUCAUACUGUUCAGCUUGGGUACAGCAGAGGAGACUGGAAUUCCCGGUGUAGCGGUGAAAUGCGUAGAUAUCAGGAGGAACACCUGUGGUGUAGACGGCUUUCUGGACCAUUGCUGACGCUGAGACACAAAAGCGUGGGUAGCAAACAGG
rnacentral:rRNA from 1 species